rnacentral:rRNA from 1 species
GAUGAACGCUGGCGGCGUGCUUAAUACAUGCAAGUCGAGCGAACAGACGAUGAUUUUGCUCUUCUCACGUUUGGCGCGGAUGUGUGAGUAACACGGGGAGAACCGACUUAUAAGACUGGGAUAUCCUGGGGAAUCCGGAGCAAAUACGGGAGAAUAUACUGAAUCGCAGGGUUCAAUAGUGAAAGACGGUGUUGCUGACACCUAUAGAUGGAUCUGCGCCGGAUUAGCUAGUUGGUAAGGUAACGGCUUACCCAGGCGAAGAUGCGUAGCCGACCCGAGAGGGUGAUCGGCCACACUGGAGCUGAGACGCGGUCCAGACUCCUGCGGGAGGCAGCAGUAGGGAAUCUUCCGCAAUGGGCGAGAGCCUGACGGAGCAACGCCGCGUGAGUGAUGAAGGUCCUCGGAUCGGAAAACUCUGUUGUGUGGGAAGAACAAAUGUGUAAGUAACUAUGCACGUAUUGACGGUACCUGAUCAGGAAGCCACGGCUAACUACGUG